AGUCGAACGGGAGGAAAAGAGAAGCUUGCUUCUUUUUGAAUCUAGUGGCAAAUGGGUGAGUAACACGUAAACAACCUGCCUUCAGGAUGGGGACAACAGACGGAAACGACUGCUAAUACCGAAUGUGUUCCGGAGACCGCAUGAUUUCCGGAAGAAAGGAUGGCCUCUAUUUAUAAGCUAUCGCCUGAAGAGGGGUUUGCGUCUGAUUAGGCAGUUGGUGAGGUAACGGCCCACCAAACCUACGAUCAGUAGCCGGUCUGAGAGGAUGAACGGCCACACUGGAACUGAGACACGGUCCAGACUCCUACCGGAGGCAGCAGUGGGGAAUCUUCCGCAAUGGACGAAAGUCUGACGGAGCAACGCCGCGUGAGUGAUGACGGCCUUC
rnacentral:rRNA from 1 species